GGGAGAGGGUGUCGAAAGGUUUUUCUUUAGCAGCAGUUCCUGCAGUGAGUCAUGAAGAAAGGGCCAUAAUUGUUCCUAUUGUCUUCUGUGCUUGGGUACAGCCACCUGUUGGUUAUUUGUGAGCUCAUCAUUAUCACUUGCAUUAUUUUGGCUCUGCAUGAAAGAGAUUAAACUGCUGGGGUUGUGUGGCUGAGCAGUACCAUGGUACCAGAGGAUGGAUGCAGACAACCCAAAGCCCUGAGCGCCUUUGUGUCAAGCCAAGUUCAAGGUCCUUCCAGACAGUGGGAAGCAUCCCCUGGAACCAACGCAAACAGUGACUGUGUUACAGAGAAAACGAG
ensembl:lncRNA